GACGUAGGGCGCGAGCGUUGUCCGGAUUUAUUGGGCGUAAAGCGCUCGUAGGCGGCUCGUUGCGUCGGCUGUGAAAACCCGCAGCUCAACUGUGGGCUUGCAGCUGAUACGGGCGGGCUGGGAUUCGGUAGGGGAGACUGGAAUUCCUGGUGUAGCGGUGAAAUGCGCAGAUAUCAGGAGGAACACCGGUGGCGAAGGCGGGUCUCUGGGCCGAUAUCGACGCUGAGGAGCGAAAGCGUGGGGAGCGAACAGG
rnacentral:rRNA from 1 species